rnacentral:rRNA from 1 species
UACAGAGGGUGCAAGCGUUUGUUCGGAAUUAUUGGGCGUAAAGCGCGUGUAGGCGGCGUGACAAGUCGGGUGUGAAAGCCCUCAGCUCAACUGAGGAAGUGCGCCCGAAACUGUCGUGCUUGAGUGUCGGAGAGGGUAGCGGAAUUCCCCAAGUAGAGGUGAAAUUCGUAGAUAUGGGGAGGAACACCGGUGGCGAAGGCGGCUACCUGGACGACUACUGACGCUGAGACGCGAAAGCGUGGGGAGCAAACAGG